ACAGCAGUGCAAGAGCUCUUAGCAGGAAGGGGCCUUAACACUUCAUGACUGAAGACUUGCAGGGAAUCACUCAAAAGUUUUGAAGGUUUUUGUGGUAACAGUGAAGGGAUAGAGCCUCAAAAGAAAAGGUCUCCAGGCCCUAGACCUGACAUCCCAAUCCGUUCUCCUGCUGUAGUCUCUCCUGAUGAGGAUGCUCAGGGUAGGAUUUCAAACAAUGCCUAACCCUGCAGUGUUUACUUAAUCAAACAAAUCUCAGGGCUCAGUAUGGCCUAGGUCUUUCAGCCCAGCCACUUUUGCCUAUGUCAUGCCAGUUGUUGAAAGGAGAAGCACAAAUCACAAAGGAAUAAAAACAACACAAUGUUA